UUGCUUGCUUCAACAACACAUAUACUAUAAUUAGAACAAUACAGAGAAGAUUAUCAUGACCCCUGUGCAAAGAUGACAUGCAAAUUCGUGAAGUAUUUCAUAUUUUU
ensembl:snRNA U6 U6 spliceosomal RNA